CCCGCUGCUGCUGGAGUUUUGGAAAUGUCCUAUAUCCGGCCCUGGAGGUAGGCUGAUGACAGCUGAAGAAGACUGUAUUUGCUGAGGAGCAGCAUGAUGGUAGAGAGGAGCAGAGCUCCUGAGGGAGACCUAAUGGUUCCUCUCCUUCCUGCACGGAGAUAAAGACUUAUAAUAAGCGUGCAUGUUCACCAUCUGGCUCUGUGCAUGUGGUCCUUAUGGAGGGGAAAGCAGCACAAUCUGUAAAUGAUCAGGAGCCAUGGCGCUCUCUCCAGAGAAUCCACGAUGCAAUCAAGGUGACAGAUGGCAUGGCCACUGCUGUGGCCUCAUGGAGAAGAUCAAAAUCACCUUCAAUAAACUCUGACUGAAAUGGG